rnacentral:rRNA from 1 species
UUGUUGGUAAGGUAAAAGCUUACCAAGGCUUCGAUCAGUAGCUGGUCUGAGAGGACGACCAGCCACACUGGGACUGAGACACGGCCCAGACUCCUACGGGAGGCAGCAGUGGGGAAUUUUGGACAAUGGGGGCAACCCUGAUCCAGCCAUGCCGCGUGAGUGAAGAAGGCCUUCGGGUUGUAAAGCUCUUUCAGCCGGAACGAAACGGUUACGGAUAAUACCCGUGACUACUGACGGUACCGGAAGAAAAAGCACCGGCUAACUACGUGCCAGCAGCCGCGGUAAUACGUAGGGUGCGAGCGUUAAUCGGAAUUACUGGGCGUAAAGCGUGCGCAGGUGGUUUUGUAAGUCAGAUGUGAAAGCCCCGGGCUCAACCUGGGAACUGCGUUUGAAACUACAAGACUAGAGUGUGGCAGAGGGGGGUGGAAUUCCGCGUGUAGCAGUGAAAUGCGUAGAGAUGUGGAGGAACACCGAUGGCGAAGGCAGCCCCCUGGGUCAACACUGACGCUCAGGCACGAAAGCAUGGGGAGCAAACAGGAUUAGAUACCCUGGUAGUCCAUGCCCUAAACGAUGUCAACUAGUUGUCGGGCCUUUACGGGCUUGGUAACGUAGCUAACGCGUGAAGUUGACCGCCUGGGGAGUACGAUCGCAAGAUUAAAACUCAAAUGAAUUGACGGGGACCCGCACAAGCGGUGGAUUAUGUGGAUUAAUUCGAUGCAACGCGAAAAACCUUACCUACCCUUGACAUGUAUCGAAGCCCGCAGAAAAGCGGGGGUGCCCGAAAGGGAACGAUAACACAGGUGCUGCAUGGCUGUCGUCAGCUCGUGCCGUGAGAUGUUGGGUUAAGUCCCGCAACGAGCGCAACCCUUGUCAUUAAUUGCCAUCAUUUAGUUGGGCACUUUAAUGAGACUGCCGG